GACGAACGCUGGCGGCGUGCCUAAUACAUGCAAGUCGAGCGAAGUUUUUCUGGUGCUUGCACUAGAAAAACUUAGCGGCGAACGGGUGAGUAACACGUAAAGAACCUGCCUCAUAGACUGGGACAACUAUUGGAAACGAUAGCUAAUGCCGGAUAACAGUAUUUCUCGCAUGAGAGAUAUUUAAAAGUUGGUUAUGCUAACACUAUGAGAUGGCUUUGCGGUGCAUUAGCUAGUUGGUGGGGUAAAGGCCCACCAAGGCGACGAUGCAUAGCCGACCUGAGAGGGUGAUCGGCCACACUGGGACUGAGACACGGCCCAGACUCCUACGGGAGGCAGCAGUAGGGAAUCUUCCGCAAUGGGCGAAAGCCUGACGGAGCAACGCCGCGUGAGUGAAGAAGGAUUUCGGUUCGUAAAGCUCUGUUGUUAGGGAAGAAUGGAUAUGUAGUAACUAUACAUGUAAGAGACGGUACCUAACCAGAAAGCCACGGCUAACUACGUG
rnacentral:rRNA from 1 species